rnacentral:miRNA from 1 species
GCGUCUAGCAGCCAAAUUAGAACUGGUGUGGACCAGGGGAAUCUGACUGUUUAAUUAAAACAAAGCAUCAAAAAGGCCCACGGCGGGUGUUGACGCGAUGUGAUUUCUACCCAGUGGUCUGAAUGUCAAAGUGAAGAAAU